UAUCCGUAACGGAAACCAUAACACCACCAUUAAAAAUAUUAGCACUGUUUCAUCCAAAGAAUUCCUUUUCCUUUUAUUGAAACCUAAAUAAGCAAAUCAAUGGUUCCAUGCGUUACGAAAAUAAAGAUACCCAUUAAGUUUCUUUCUUCGCUAUUAUUUCUCCUUAUUAAUCCCUGAAAUGUUCGACUAUUUAAAUCCCUAAAAGAGUUAUCUUGCACAGGUUCUCUGUGCUUACAAUCCCCUUUUUCUCUAUCAUGAUUCAUGUUAGUUUCGGUGAUUUUGGUAUCUUUCGAGAUUCUCUGAUUAUUUUGAUAUUGUUGUAAAGUUUUAUUUGGUGCUUUUCAAGAAGCUUUUCUCUGAUUGAUUUUGUUGACGGUGGUGCACCGCAAAUUUUGAAAUCAGAGAAAAACAUCAAUCUCAGAUGGUUAAUGUCUAUGGUGGUGUAUUCCCGGAGGUUCUCAAGCUUAACAGUUUCAUGUUCUUCGUUAUUCUACAUUACACUCUUUUUGGAAUUAAUCAUACCCAGUAUUGGGAUAUAUUUAUUUUGUAAGUGUUGGUUUCCUGACUCAUUCUAAUUUUUGGCAUCACCAAUUGAGCGUGUUUCACAAGUAUAAGAAUGUGCACCUGUGAUGAAGUACCUUUACUCAAAAAUGUCAAAGGUACUUUAUUCGCUUUAAAGUGACAGACCUGGUGGCCGGUAGCACCAUAUUUCCUUCAUGGAUAGUGAAAUCCAUCGUAUUGUCCAAGGCACUGCCUCAAACGUAGUUAUGAUGGGAGAGGUACGCCGCCCUGUUUACUUAAUUUUUUGGAAUUGUAGAUACCUAUGUCAAUGGUACAGACAUGAUGGGUACUCUUGAUGCAACAAGAGACCUUAAAAGCUAUUUGAAAUCCAAAUUUGAGAUGAAAAAUCUUGGAAAAGCUCGACAGA